UACGAUGGGGGCGAGCGUUGUCCGGAUUUACUGGGCGUAAAGCGCGUGUAGGCGGCUUUUCAAGUCAGGCGUGAAAGCCCGGGGCUCAACCCCGGAACUGCGCUUGAUACUGGAAAGCUAGAAUGUGGGAGAGGACAAUGGAAUUCCAAAUGUAGGGGUGAUAUCCGUAGAUAUUUGGAGGAACACCAGAGGCGAAGGCGAUUGUCUGGCCCAACAUUGACGCUGAGACGCGAAAGCGUGGGGAGCGAACAGG
rnacentral:rRNA from 1 species